CAGUAGCCGCGGGAAUACAGAGGGUGCGAGCGUUAAUCGGAUUUACUGGGCGUAAAGCGUGCGUAGGCGGCUUUUUAAGUCGGAUGUGAAAUCCCUGAGCUUAACUUAGGAAUUGCAUUCGAUACUGGGAAGCUAGAGUAUGGGAGAGGAUGGUAGAAUUCCAGGUGUAGCGGUGAAAUGCGUAGAGAUCUGGAGGAAUACCGAUGGCGAAGGCAGCCAUCUGGCCUAAUACUGACGCUGAGGUACUAAAGCAUGGGGAGCAAACAGGAUUAGAUACCCGCGUAGUCCCUGUCUCUUAUAC
rnacentral:rRNA from 1 species